UUAUUCACUACACUUACAUACGAGGUCGUUGCCAAUGAUGUAGACAGUUUACUGGACGAAUUGUUAAGUGUUCGUAAAUGUGCUCGUACAUUUACCGCGUUUGAAACAGUGUUCACGACGAUAGAUUCCGUAAUUUCCUGUACGAAAACUCCUACCGAAACGACGAUUACAUGAA